ACCUGACUGGCUUAGUCGGUACAGCAUGUGACUCUUGAUCUCAGGGUUAUGAGUUGGAGCCCCAUGUUAGAUA
rnacentral:tRNA from 1 species